CAUAUUUUCUAAUAACCCCCUGCAGAAAUAGAUAAACACCAAAGCUCGUGGAAUUAUGUCAGAUAAAACCCUAAUUCUAGAUGUUUGGUGCAUAUUGAUCCUUUUCCAUGUUUAUUUGAUGGUUAAUUUAGUACUUAAGGACCAUCAACAAAUUCCCCCAAGCUUACCCUUUGCUCGUCCCUGAGCAAACAGCUAAACUCAGACGGAUCAGG
rnacentral:lncRNA from 1 species